GAUGAAGAACGUAGCGAAAUGCGAUAAGUAAUGUGAAUCGCAGAAUUCAGUGAAUCAUCGAAUCUUUGAACGCACAUUGCGCCCGCCAGUAUUCUGGCGGGCAUGCCUGUUCGAGCGUCAUUUCAACCAUCAAGCCCCCGGCUUGUGUUGGGGACCUGCGGCUGCCGCAGGCCCUGAAAAGCAGUGGCGGGCUCGCUGUCACACCGAGCGUAGUAGAUUUCAUCUCGCUCAGGGCGUGCUGCGGGUUCCGGCCGUUAAACCACCUUCAUAACCCAAGGUUGACCUCGGAUCAGGUAGGAAGACCCGCUGAACUUAAGCAUAUCAAUAAGCGGAGGA
rnacentral:misc_RNA from 1 species